rnacentral:RNase_P_RNA from 2 species
CCAGUCGGCUGGGCGACCGCUGCCGCCAAUGUCGAAAGACGGCGGGGGAGGAAAGUCCGGGCUCCACGGAGAAACGGUGCCGGGUAACGCCCGGCGGGGGCGACCCCAGGGACAGUGCCACAGAGAACAGACCGCCUCGCGGCCCUCGAUCAACCGGCGCCUUGCGCCGGUGAGGGGCGUCGGGGUCAGGGUGAAACGGUGGGGUAAGAGCCCACCGCGCCUCAUGGCAACAUGGGCGGCACGGCAAACCCCACCGGGAGCAAGACCGAAUAGGAACGACGCGGCGGGCGACCGCCGGCCUCUCCGGGUCAGUCGUUCGGGUGGGUUGCUCGAGGCGACGCGCGAGCGUCGUCCCAGAGGAAUGGUCGCCGGGCGGCUCCGGCCGCUCACAGAACCCGGCUUACAGGCCGACUGGCAUU